CCUGAAUAAACUUAUUUUAAGAAGUUGAAGCUACUUAGGAGGCUGAAACAGAAGGAUUGCCAAGUUCGAGGCCAGCCUGAGCAACCUAGCAAGACCCUGUCUCAAAAAUAAAAUGGGUCCCUAGGUUCAGUCCCAAGUAGUGAGUAAGGGAGGACAAAUGAAUUUGUAGUUUAAAAAAACUUCCAAUGAAGCCAGGCGUGGUGGCACAUGCCUAUAAUGCCAGCGUUGAGGGAGGCUGAGACAGGAGGAUCACAAGUUCAGAGCCAGCUCCAGUAACAGCGAAGUGCUAAACUAAACUCAAUGAGACACCCUGUCUCUAAAUAAAAUACAAAAUAAGGCUGGGAUAUGGCUCCGGGGUUGAGUGCCCCUGAAUUCAAUCCCUGGUACCCACCCCCACCAAAAAAAAAAAAAAAAAAAACUUCCAAUGAAGAAAACUUAUGGCCCAGAUGGUUUUACUGGUAAGUUAUAACAAACAUUUCAGAAGGAAAAUACUAUCAAUUGUAC
rnacentral:lncRNA from 1 species